rnacentral:rRNA from 1 species
UACAUAGGGCGCAAGCGUUUGUCCGGAAUUAUUGGGCGUAAAGAGCUCGUAGGCGGCUUGUCACGUCGGGGUGUGAAAGCCCCGGGGCUUAAGCCCCGGGGUCUGCCAUUCGAUACGGGCAGGCUAGAGUGUGGUAGGGGAGGAUCGGAAUUCCUGGUGUAGCGGUGAAAUGCGCAGAUAUCGUAAGGAAGACCAGUGGCGAAGGCGGGCUGCUGGACAGUUCCUGAGCGCCUGAGGCGACGAAGGCCAGGGGAGCAAACGGG